rnacentral:misc_RNA from 1 species
UUAACUUGUUUUUUUUGUAAAUCAGAACAUACAGUCCGCUGUGCAAAUAGAGUUUUUGGCGCUGCCGGCGGGGGCGGCCUGCGGGGCCGGCGGUAAAGCCGGUCCCGACGACCACCACCGCCGAGGAAACAGCGCGGCAGGUUGGUAAGGUUCACAAAGGGUUUUGAAGGGUAACUUCGGUAAUGAUCCCUCCGCUGGUUCACCAACGGAGA